CUGAUAUCUCUGGAGGCUGGAGUCUGUUUACACACAGAAUAAAGACAUAAGAGCAAAAAAAAAAAACAACUGCAGAAGCUUCCCAUGGCAACUUGCCUUGAAGCUGUCUUUGAACGACCACCUCGAGGGGUGACAGAACAUUUCAGCUUCUGUGGCUCACUCAAUCCUGUGGCCUUC
rnacentral:sRNA from 1 species